UACGUAGGGUGCGAGCGUUAAUCGGAAUUACUGGGCGUAAAGUGUGCGCAGGCGGCCGCGCAAGUCGAGUGUGAAAUCCCCGAGCUUAACUUGGGAAUUGCGCUCGAAACUACGUGGCUGGAGUGUGGCAGAGGAAGGUGCAAUUCCACGUGUAGCGGUGAAAUGCGUAGAGAUGCGGAGGAACACCGAUGGCGAAGGCAGCCCCCUGGGCUGACACUGACGCUCAGGCACGAAAGCGUGGGGAGCAAACGGG
rnacentral:rRNA from 1 species